AGAAAGUGAGAGUAACAGCUGUGUGGGAUAACAAAGAAGUGUUUGUGUCUCCAGCUGAGGCAAGUCCCGUGACCAAACUUUGGGGAACAUGUACAAACAGCAACAUUUUUCACUACAACACAGCACAUAGAAACAAGACCCCCAAAAUACUACUUACCUAUCUGGCUUUACUGCCGUUCCAUGUGAUUGCCUGUUCACUAACACAUGCAGCUCUGUGUUGUGUUAGCGUGUUUACCAUGUUUUGUGAGUGUUUCCUGACACAGUGUUUGACAAAAAAGUACACAGGCAUACUGGUGUGAAGCCCUUCCACUAGUACUGGAAUAAUCUGAUGCCAAGCCAUACAGGAUUGGGCACAAGUAAAAAUGGUUCCCAUGUGCUCCCCUCAAAGUUUUGACCACACACAAUGCCAAGAAAGAAGGCUACCCUCUCUGGCCACAGAGUGGAUAAAAGAAGGAGAACAUAAAGUGAAAAUUAAUUGAAUACAGAAUGCAGAUGAUGGCUCCCUUGGCCCAACUACAACAUCCAUGCAACGGCAACAGCUUUCAGCUACUGGUUCUAAAAUAAAGCUGCCAUAUGACACAGAAGUGGCUCUAGCCAUUUUGCUAGCCAGGGUGGAAAACAUUUUCAGCACUGCACCACCAGUGGGCCAAAAAAAGGCCAGCCAAUCAGACCGGAAGGGGGGAAAAGAGCACAAUCGCAUAGCAACUGUUCCACUGCUCCACCCCUAGAACCAGCCCUGACUUUGCACAUAUAAUUAUCUAUCAGUCAAGCUUGGUUGACGUGCCAUACAGAUAGCAGAAAAUUAGGUUCCAUCCUCCAAAGCCCUUCACUUCUGGGAAGCUAUUCAUGUGAAUGUGGAAGAUCUUCAAGAUGAGGAGGGCGGAAUUAAUGUUUCAAAAUUCCUGACUGUGAAAAACAAAAUCAAGUAACAGCAAGGUUGAAGAAAGAGUCACGGUCUCGCUACCAGUAGAGGAUGCUGCAAAGUGGAUCCAAAGAGCUAACAAGACAGCAGGAAGUAACAAAGAAAAAGGAGAUGAGUAGGAUCUAAAAUAGAAAUCUUCACCUCGUACAUAAUGUGGUGCAGGAGUCUGGGAAAGAGCAAUACAAUAUAAAUAAGCUGUUCUUCAAACACAAUCUGAAAGCUUUUGAAAAGCAAGCAUCUCUUGAAAGAAAAAAACCCAUUCAUAUUGUAAAAGAUAAGAGCACCAAAUCCUUGAGGGAUACACGGCCCAGUGGACAAUAAAACUAGGAUGAUACUACCUUACACUUCCACAGAAUCUUCCAUAUGAAGAUUUCAAAGAACUUUACCAAUAUGAACAAAUUAAGCCUCACAACACAUCUGUGAGGCACUAUCCCUGUUCUAAAGAUGGGGAAACUGAGGCACAGAAAGGUUAAGUGAUUUCCCUGGAGUCACACAAGGAGUUUCUGGCAGAGUUGAGAAUAGAGUCAAGAAUAAUGCAGCAGGAGUACUGAAAAUCUCCAUUACAGGGUAGGAAUAAGGAAAUCACCGGAAGUUAUUGUGACCAUUCCCAGUCACCCAAUUUUGAGUCCUUUAUUUCAGCCACACCAUCUUUUAUCCUCCAGCAAUACAGUGCUCACUUCACAAACACACAACUGGCCCCAUAUGGUUUCUUGAUAUAUACCAUUUUCCCAGUACAUUUCAUUUCUGUGGAAUGAAUUUGGUGUAUCCUCAUUUCUUCCCUGUCCCCAAUCUCAUUAUUUGUAGUUUUCCAAUGUUGCUUACAGGGCUGGGAAACUCAGUGAUGGCUUGUGCCUCCCUCUUGUUGAUUUUAUAACACUAUUAUACACUAUUUUUCCUGCAACAACAUAAAACCUCCAAUCACCUUUGCAAGUGACAAAUUUCAUAAAGCUGGAUGAAUCAGUUCAGAUAAAAUACAAAGUCCUUUCCCCAGCCUGCAUUCCACUUGUUGAAGAACUCAUAUCUAUGCAAACCCAACCUACUUUUUGAGGGGGCAGAAAGUUGGCUUUUCUUUAUACAGUAUUUCAUUUUUGUACAUGGCUAUACUUCCAUGUUGCUAUGACAGACUGCACAGGCACUUCAAUAUUGUUGUUUAUUAUCUGGCAGGUGCUAUCUGCAUGCUUUGUUCUGUACAAGGUGCAAAAGAAGAGACAUCCACUUCCCCAAGGAACAGACAGCCUAAAGGCUGUUUUUCUCACUAUUUCCACCCCAACUGCAAGCAGGUAGUACUAGGAAAGCCCACAAGAAGAACUGUGUGAGAGAUUUCCAGCCCAAUUUUUGUAGACCUAAGAGGUUUAGUUAAAUUUGGAUAUACUUACCUGAGCAGAACCUUAAUGGUCACCUGGCUCUUACAAAGACAUAUGAUUUUGCAGAAGAUGAUAUGUCAAAGUACCGAGGGCUGCACAGGCAACUUGGCACUAGCCCGAGAACAGCACUUAACUUUCAUACAAAUGUACACAGAAUUUUAGUUAUAUAAAUGUACAGUUAUUCUUUUGUUACAAAAUGCUUUCAAGGGUACACAGCAGAAAACAAAGACAAAAUGUGUUUUUCCAGGACUGCAAAGGAAGGAGUAUCAAGGGGAAGACCAGCUGUGCUUCUCUGACACCAGCUUCUUGGUGAUUGGCUUUAUCUUUGUGGUGGACACCUGCAACAUGGAAUGAUGUGAACAUCACUCUACUUUACAUAAACACCAAGACUGAAACUAUGACCUCACCCUUCCAAUUUUCUACGCAAGCGAAUACAUCAAGGGAAAAAUCAUCUUAAACAUAUAUACUUAAUGGGUGGAGUAAGAAGGAAACUUUGUAAGCAGAAACACUGAAAGAGACAUCACA